GCAUUGGUGGUUCAAUGGCAGAAUUUCCACCUCCCACGCAGGAGGUCUGGGUUCGAUUCCCAGCCAGUGCA